GGUGGGUGUGGAGGUAGGGGCAGGUGAAGAGGGCUUAGGGUCUGGCAAGCUUCUUUGGAGGCUCCUAAGCAGUCUGAGAAGCUUUUCCACUGGUGUGGGACUUAAAGCUUGCCUCUGUGCCCAUCACUGCAUGCAGACUGCAUUCUGGGUCAGGCUGGAACAAUCCCACAGCUGAAACAGCCACUCCUAGGCCAAGUCUACAUGAACCUAUGUUGGACUUCAGUAUCCGUAAUGGUGUUCAUGGUCAGGAAGGGGGCCAGGACCACGCUGAAUACAAAAAGGCCCAGAGACCACCCAGCUUCCUGGAAGGACCACAUCAGAGAGAUACCACAUCUGAGAAGAGAAGCAGCCAGCUCAGUCGCCUCACCGCCAGCUCAGUUGCCUCACCGUCAGAGUUAAUGAGAAGGGUGCCCUGACCCCACCCCUUCACCCGCCGCAGGACCAGACAAGAAGGAGCCUGAUGCUUGGGCUGGGGCCUGCCUGCCCUUCCCUUCCCCUCCCACUCACCCCAGGGAGGGGAUUCCUGCAAGGACCUCUGGCAGAAGGCUUCUGAGGAUUGAGAGAGACCAAGGAGACACCAAGACAGUGUUCUGCCGAGAAGAGAGGCCACCAGCCCCACCCUGCCUCUGCACCUGCCACCACUCACACCCAGGGCUCUGUCCCCACCUAUGGUCUCUGACCUCUCUGCCUCAGCACAGGGACUGGCUGUGGAGUGGAAGAAAAUGUGCCAGCCUUUUCUUGAAGGUCUUGAAAGGAAGCCAACAGAAGUACCAUCUAUGACCAGGCUACUGUUUCCAGGAAUUUCUGGGAAACUGUUAAGAAGUAUUUACACAUUCUGAAAAUGAAUACCGGUAGUUGCUUGUCAUCAGAAUCUGCAAUAGGGAAGCAAACUGUUACUUUCUCCUUCCUCAGUUAUGCAUGUUUGUCUCAAGACAACUACUGCUCUCCCCGUGUCAUUUUGCCCAAUUUGGACAUUGGCCCUAUCUCCUGUUCAAUAUGGUGAUAACUGAGAUCAGGAAAUAGGAUUUGUUAUGACUUUGCUGAAGGUUUUGUGAUAAGAAAAGGAUAUUUUUAUGAAACAGAGAAUUUCAAAACUAAGUAUCACUGCUCUUGGGGUUUGCAGAGGGGUCUUGUCCUGGUACUUCUCUGCCUGCCCCUAGUCUGCCCCCAUGUUGCAAGGACCAGUAGACCUGACUGCAGUGGAAAUGCCCUGAACACAGAUCUGCCUCUGUGUUCACGUUCAGGGGGGAACCCCUGCCCCAAACGACAGGAUGUGAUCUUGUCUUUUGGCACAAAGCAUCAGAACAAAACCAGAGCAAAAUACAUCUCCAAAGAAUGGAUUCUUCAGUACAGAACAGCACUGUCCAUAGUCCUGUACAAUUUCUCUUCAUAACUUGAGGUGCACAGAAGCUCAACUCUCUGUUCUUCAAGCCACCUUGGAGUCUUGGCUUCUGAUCUCCUGCAAAAAAAUGACUUGAACAACAACCCAUACAUCUUCUAGGAAUAAUCAACAAUACCCAGAAUUAGCAAAAGACCUCUGAAUAUUGGAAAAAAAGACUACCUUUUACAUUCCCACAAAGAAGUCCUGAAGUCAAAGUUCUCAAACUCUCUCCUGGACUAUAGUCUCUGCUCUGUAUUUGGGUAAGUCUGACCAAACCUGACGCCUUCUCUCUAUUUAAAUCAGACCUUCCUGUUCCAACAUCAGAUCACCCUCUUUCCUUUGUUUUCUUAAAAGCACUUAACAAUUUAUAGCUAUACAUGUAUUUCUGAGAUUGGUUGGUCAACUAUUCUCUCCCUUUCUAGAGUCGUUCCCAGGAGGCAUGGAUCGUGUUUCCUUUGCUCAUCCCUGUGUCCCCAGUGCCUAGCACAGUGUUGGGCACACAUUAGGUAAUCAGUAGACAUUUCUUGCCAGUACUCUUGCCUGGAAAAUCCCAUGGACAGAGGGGCCUGGUGGGCUGCAGUCCAUGGGGUUGAUAAGAGUUGG